AAAACGCUGCUUGCUUGCAAAUGAGGAGGCCGCUAGGCAUUUGCCUAGAACUACAACCUUUCUCCGGUUUCGCCUUUUUUUUAACCCUGAUUUUUUUUUUUUUUUCCAUUCUGGAGGGCGGUUCAGCGAGGAAGAAUGCCUCCAACCCAGCCCAAUCCAGGCCAGUACGCACUCACCAACGGGGACCCCCUCAACGGCCACUGCUACCUGUCCGGCUACAUCUCGCUGCUGCUGCGCGCCGAGCCCUACCCCACGUCGCGCUACGGCAGCCAGUGCAUGCAGCCCAACAACAUUAUGGGCAUCGAGAACAUCUGCGAGCUGGCCGCGCGCCUGCUCUUCAGCGCCGUCGAGUGGGCCCGCAACAUCCCCUUCUUCCCGGAUCUGCAGAUCACCGACCAGGUGUCCCUGCUACGCCUCACCUGGAGCGAGCUGUUCGUGCUCAACGCGGCCCAGUGCUCUAUGCCGCUGCACGUGGCGCCGCUGCUGGCCGCCGCCGGCCUGCAUGCCUCGCCCAUGUCCGCCGACCGCGUCGUGGCCUUCAUGGACCACAUCCGCAUCUUCCAGGAACAGGUGGAGAAGCUCAAGGCGCU
rnacentral:sRNA from 1 species